UAAAAGAACUUGGUGUGUUUGGGUAACUAAAAGUAAGCUGGUAAUGUUGGAGCAUUAGGCAUGCCUACAUUUCUGUGUGUACGUGUAUGGAUAUAGACUCAAGUAGGAGAUGAAUUAGGAGCUAAGGUAGGGGUCAGAUAUUAUGGAAGUGGCUGUGUAUUGUAUUAAGAAGUGUAAUGGGGAUACCUCUUCAUCUAGCUUGAAACACGGGCGCCACCAAGAUGCCGGCUUACCACUCUUUUCUCAUGGACCCUGACACCAAACACAUUGGAAACAUGGCACUGUUGCCUAUCAGAAGUCAAUUCAAAGGACCUGCCCCUAGGGACUUGGGAUCUCAGUGUUAAGCAGCUCAGCCUCUGGGUUGGGCUUUCUUUCCUUGCUGUGGUUUUCCCUGAGCCCAUUGGAAUCUACCAGAAAAUGAGCUGUCUUCUUUGUUGUGACCCAGUCUCUCCACCUGCAGAAUUGCAGCUCCCCAGGCCCUUUUGUGUGGUCCAUGUUAUUGAGACCAUGACCCCCCUGAGAACCUGUUUCUUCUCCAAGGACUGGAGGCUUCUGCUUCUUUAGCAUUCCCCAACCUGACAUCCCUCCAUUCAUUGUGACUCAGUUCCCCAUCCUCAGCUUAGGGCAGCAUUGAAUAGGAGUUGUCAGGGUCUUUGCCACUUUUUCAUCCCUUCAUCUCAGCGAGAGCAUCUCUGAGUGAACUGGGUAAUGAUAAUGCCAGGUCUGGGCCGCCGCAGCAGCAGCUGGGGAGAGGAUGUGCUCCAUCAGCCAGAGGCUGAGCUGCUUAACACUGAGAUCCCAAGUCCCUAUUCUGAACCCCGGUGGGACGGUUCUGCUGGUGGGCAGGCUGUGGCAGUGUGUGUGUGUGUCUGUGUGUGUGUGUGUAUGUAUAUGUGUGUAUGUGGUUGGCCCAUCAUGGUCACAGGUAAAGUCAUGAAACUGGGGGCAGAGAGUGGGCUCAAGCUCCCAAGUUCUUGUGGGCAUUUAAGAACUGGAACCACUUCGGUAUAUCUGGGACAGCCAGCUCUGACCCUUUACCAAAGACACACGAUUGGUGACCUGUAGGAUGAGGCAAACUGAUCAAAGUACAGCAAUACUGUCAAUGCUGGAGAAAGCAGAGCCAGGCAAAGAGGAGAGGUUACAGUGAGUGACCGAAGUGCUGAUGGGCUAUGCCUCCACGGUGAGCCAGACAGAAUGCAAUAAAAAGUUCCAAGGAAGACAGAAGAGAAGAGAGGGAGGUGCUGCCUUGGUCCAGCUCAAGCAUUUCCAAGAGGCUUCCUCUGGAUGCGACGUCGAGGCCGCCCUUCUGCCGUAGCACAGACCUGGUGAUUACCGAGUGCGUGAACAUGGCUUUGCUCAGCAACAUCCUAGCGGCCUAUUCCUUUGUCUCAGAGAGAGACACAGCGAGAGAGGGAACACGAGCAGGCGGAGU